GGCAGCAGUGGGGAAUCUUCGGCAAUGGGCGAAAGCCUGACCGAGCAACGCCGCGUGAAUGGUGAAGGCCUUCGGGUUGUAAAAUUCUGUUAUAAGGGAAGAACGACUUUAGUAGGAAAUGGCUAAAGUGUGACGGUACCUUAUGAGAAAGCCACGGCUAACUACGUGCCAGCAGCCGCGGUAAUACGUAGGUGGCAAGCGUUAUCCGGAAUUAUUGGGCGUAAAGAGCGCGCAGGUGGUUGAUUAAGUCUGAUGUGAAAGCCCACGGCUUAACCGUGGAGGGUCAUUGGAAACUGGUCGACUUGAGUGCAGAAGAGGGAAGUGGAAUUCCAUGUGUAGCGGUGAAAUGCGUAGAGAUAUGGAGGAACACCAGUGGCGAAGUCGGCUUCCUGGUCUGUAACUGACACUGAGGCGCGAAAGCGUGGGGAGCAAACAGGAUUAGAUACCCUGGUAGUCCACGCCGUAAACGAUGAG
rnacentral:rRNA from 1 species